rnacentral:rRNA from 1 species
UACGUAGGGGGCAAGCGUUGUCCGGAUUCAUUGGGCGUAAAGAGCGUGUAGGCGGCCAGGUAGGUCGGUUGUGAAAACUGGAGGCUCAACCUUCAGAGGUCGACCGAAACCAUCUGGCUAGAGUCCGGGAGAGGAGAGUGGAAUUCCUGGUGUAGCGGUGAAAUGCGCAGAUAUCAGGAAGAACACCAAUGGCGAAGGCAGCUCGCUGGGACGUGACUGACGCUGAGACGCGAAAGCGUGGGGAGCAAACAGG